UACCAGCACCCCGAGUGGUCGGGGCGAUUAUUGGGCCUAAAGCAUCCGUAGCCGGUCAUGCAAGUCCUCCGUUAAAUCCACCUGCUUAACAGAUGGGCUGCGGAGGAUACUACAAGGCUAGGAGGCGGAAGAGGCAAGCGGUACUCAGUGGGUAGGGGUAAAAUCCUCUGAUCCAUUGAAGACCACCAGUGGCGAAGGCGGCUUGCCAAUACGCGCUCGACGGUGAGGGAUGAAAGCUGGGGGAGCAAACCGG
rnacentral:rRNA from 1 species